UACGUAGGGUGCGAGCGUUGUCCGGAAUUAUUGGGCGUAAAGAGCUCGUAGGCGGUCUGUCGCGUCGAUCGUGAAAACUUGGGGCUUAACCCUGAGCUUGCGGUCGAUACGGGCAUGACUGGAGUUCGGCAGGGGAGACUGGAAUUCCUGGUGUAGCGGUGAAAUGCGCAGAUAUCAGGAGGAACACCAAUGGCGAAGGCAGCUCACUGGGACGGUAUUGACGCUGAGACGCGAAAGCGUGGGGAGCAAACAGG
rnacentral:rRNA from 1 species